CAAAACAUAUUAUUGUGGACCUCACCUCCUAUCAAAAGUUAGGGAGGGAUGUAAGACCAAGUUUUCCUUUUUUUAUUUUUUAUUUUUUAUUAUUGUAAUUUCUUCAAACAAAAGUGUUUCCACAAUAUUCAGAGCAAGGACCCAAGGCAGACCAAAUAGAGGAACGCAGCAAAAUCUUUGUCUGAGGCCCGCGAAGCACACAAAGAUCCUCACCGGUUAUUUGUUUCUGUAGAUGCAAUGAUAGAAGGGGCACGCAUUCGGCUUAAUGGGUGGCAGCGGGCUGCAGUUGCUCUUGGUUCAGCCGUGGGAGCGUUACUGGAUGUGGACCCACGAAGAGCAGAUAUGAUAGCUGCUUUGGGGGAGACAACUGGGAAGCCUGCUUUUGAAAGGGUUCUAGAAAGGAUGAAGAAAAGCCCUGAAGGCAGAGUAAGGAUUUGUUAAUUACAAGUUGAGAUUCUAAUUAUAUUGGCAUUUUUAAGUGUCAUAUAUUAUCGUUAUGUUUGUGAACGACUUAGUUAUAACUGCUGUUUUUCAAAGGACUAUUGCCCUCUCUCUUGGCCAUGGUUCAUCUACUCUUGUAACCACCAGUAUUGUUUUAACAGAGGUGUUUCCCUAUCUGUUUGCACUAAUAUAUUAUGUUGCCUAGGUUAAAUUCCCCCUCAUUUUAUAGUGAGGAUGAAAGCUAACAGAUUUGGAAAAUCUUUCCCCUUCUUUUCCUUCCCCUCGUGCCUAUGCAAUAAAGCUUUCUUUAAUUGAUUUUUAGUUGUCACUGAGCUUCAUAACUGGAGUUUAUUUGGGAGGGUUUUUUUUAGCUUUUAUGAACAGUGAGAACUUUGCUUGAUCAUGUAAUGUAAUAUAGAGGUGGGAUGGUGGUUGCUACAAAAAUCUCUGUUAUAAACUCAGUGACAACUAAGAACAAGGUUACAGUCACUGACACACUCAUGUGUUUAUUAAUUGUUUAUUAAUUGACUCGGGAUGUUGUUGCUGAUUA